GACGAACGCUGGCGGCGUGCUUAACACAUGCAAGUCGAACGGAAAGGCCUGCUUUCCCUUGUGGAUUGCGGGUACUCGAGUGGCGAACGGGUGAGUAACACGUGAGUGAUCUGCCCCCAACUUGGGUAUAAGCCUGGGAAACUGGGUCUAAUUCCCGAUAGGACUGCAGGGUGGUGCCUGUGGUGGAAAACGAUUUUCUAGUGGUUGGGGAUGAGCUCGCGGCCUAUCAGCUUGUUGGUGGGGUAAUGGCCUACCAAGGCGGCGACGGGUAGCCGGCCUGAGAGGGUGGACGGCCACAUUGGGACUGAGAUACGGCCCAGACUCCUACGGGAGGCAGCAGUGGGGAAUAUUGCACAAUGGGCGGAAGCCUGAUGCAGCGACGCCGCGUGGGGGAUGACGGCCUUCGGGUUGUAAACUCCUUUCGACCGCGAGGAAGCCACCUGGUUGGAAGGGUGGUGACGGUAGUGGUAGAAGAAGUACCGGCUAACUACGUG
rnacentral:rRNA from 1 species